UGCUCUUCCUAUGUUUACCUUUUUUACAAUGAAAUAUAUUUUUGCUGUCUGUUGUACAUUGGCCUCCUUUUUUGUAAUAACAGUCAUAGCACGCAGGUGAGACUUGGAACUCCAGA